rnacentral:rRNA from 1 species
GGCGUAGUAAAUGAUCGAGGAAAAGAAACCACCUGGGAUUACCUUAGUACGGCGAGUGAAGCGGUAAAAGCUCAAAUUUGAAAUCUGGUACUUUCAGUGCCCGAGUUGUAAUUUGUAGAAUUUGUCUUUGAUUAGGUCCUUGUCUAUGUUCCUUGGAACAGGACGUCAUAGAGGGUGAGAAUCCCGUUUGGCGAGGAUACCUUUUCUCUGUAAGACUUUUUCGAAGAGUCGAGUUGUUUGGGAAUGCAGCUCAAAGUGGGUGGUAAAUUCCAUCUAAAGCUAAAUAUUGGCGAGAGACCGAUAGCGAACAAGUACAGUGAUGGAAAGAUGAAAAGAACUUUGAAAAGAGAGUGAAAAAGUACGUGAAAUUGUUGAAAGGGAAGGGCAUUUGAUCAGACAUGGUGUUUUUUGCAUGCACUCGCCUCUCGUGGGCUUGGGCCUCUCAAAAAUUUCACUGGGCCAACAUCAAUUCUGGCAGCAGGAUAAAUCAUUAAGAAUGUAGCUACUUCGGUAGUGUUAUAGCUUUUUGGAAUACUGUUAGCCGGGAUUGAGGACUGCGCUUCGGCAAGGAUGUUGGCAUAAUGGUUAAAUGCCGCCCGUCUUGA